GACGAACGCUGGCGGCGUGCCUAAUACAUGCAAGUCGAACGCUUCUUUUUCCACCGGAGCUUGCUCCACCGGAAAAAGAGGAGUGGCGAACGGGUGAGUAACACGUGAGCAACCUGCCCCUGACUCUGGGAUAAGCGCUGGAAACGGUGUCUAAUACUGGAUAUGUACCACGAUCGCAUGGUCUGUGGUUGGAAAGAUUUUUCGGUUGGGGAUGGGCUCGCGGCCUAUCAGCUUGUUGGUGAGGUAAUGGCUCACCAAGGCGUCGACGGGUAGCCGGCCUGAGAGGGUGACCGGCCACACUGGGACUGAGACACGGCCCAGACUCCUACGGGAGGCAGCAGUGGGGAAUAUUGCACAAUGGGCGCAAGCCUGAUGCAGCAACGCCGCGUGAGGGAUGACGGCCUUCGGGUUGUAAACCUCUUUUAGCAGGGAAGAAGCGAGAGUGACGGUACCUGCAGAAAAAGCGCCGGCUAACUACGUGCCAGCAGCCGCAGUAAAAC
rnacentral:rRNA from 1 species